GUGGGGAAUCUUGCGCAAUGGGCGAAAGCCUGACGCAGCCAUGCCGCGUGAAUGAUGAAGGUCUUAGGAUUGUAAAAUUCUUUCACCGGGGACGAUAAUGACGGUACCCGGAGAAGAAGCUCCGGCUAACUUCGUGCCAGCAGCCGCGGUAAUACGAAGGGGGCUAGCGGUGCUCGGAAUUACUGGGCGUAAAGGGCGCGUAGGCGGACAGCUUAGUCAGAGGUGAAAGCCCAGGGCUCAACCUUGGAAUUGCCUUUGAUACUGGCUGUCUUGAGUUUGGGAGAGGUGAGUGGAACUCCGAGUGUAGAGGUGAAAUUCGUAGAUAUUCGGAAGAACACCAGUGGCGAAGGCGACUCACUGGCCCAAUACUGACGCUGAGGCGCGAAAGCGUGGGGAGCAAACAGGAUUAGAAACCCGGGUAGUCC
rnacentral:rRNA from 1 species